GGUUUCCGUAGGUGACCUGCGGAAGGAUCAUUGUCGAAAUCGAACGGAAGAACGACCCGCGAACCGUCUUUGCGUAACGAACCGAGCUCGCGAGCAGCAAACGCUCGCGCGUCUCGCGUCGCGUCGGCGCGGUCCUCGAAAGGGCCACGCCGCACCGACAAACUAACAAUGUCAGCACGGAUCGUGCCAAGGAGCUGUACAGGCGAGAGUCGCCGUCCCACGCCCCCGGUCCCCCUCGACUGGGGGCGGGUGACAUGCGCGAUCUCUGCUCUUAGUCUUAAUGACUCUCGGCAACGGAUAUCUCGGCUCUUGCAUCGAUGAAGAACGUAGCGAAAUGCGAUACUUGGUGUGAAUUGCAGAAUCCCGCGAACCAUCAAUUCUUUGAACGCAAGUUGCGCCCGAAGCCAUCCGGCCGAGGGCACGCCUGCCUGGGUGUCGUGAAUCCCCUUGCCCCAGGGCACCCGCACGAGCAUCGUCGCGGAUAUGCCCGGGCGCAGAAUAUGGUCUCCCGUCGGAUCGGCGUGCGCUGCACGUCGUGGGGCGGUUGGCCGAAAAUCGAGCAUUGCGACGUCGGGCUCCACGGCGUUCGGUGGAUCGAACGCGAUUGGCUGCGCCGUGGUCCCGUCAUGCCGCGGGCUCCGGACUACUACGACGAUUCCCGUGUGCGAUCCCAGGUCAGGCGGGGCUACCCG
rnacentral:misc_RNA from 1 species